AGCGAACGCUGGCGGCAGGCCUAACACAUGCAAGUCGAACGGUCCUUCGGGAUAGUGGCGGACGGGUGAGUAACACGUGGGAACGUGCCUUUUGGUUCGGAACAACUUGGGGAAACUUAAGCUAAUACCGGAUGUGCCCUUAGGGGAAAGAUUUAUCGCCAUUAGAGCGGCCCGCGUCUGAUUAGCUAGUUGGUGGGGUAAAGGCCUACCAAGGCGACGAUCAGUAGCUGGUCUGAGAGGAUGAUCAGCCACAUUGGGACUGAGACACGGCCCAAACUCCAACGGGAGGCAGCAGUGGGGGAUCUUGCGCAAUGGGCGAAAGCCUGACGCAGCCAUGCCGCGUGAAUGAUGAAGGUCUUAGGAUUGUAAAAUUCUUUCACCGGGGACGAUAAUGACAGUACCCGGAGAAGAAGCCCCGGCUAACUUCGUGCCAGCCGCCGCCGUAA
rnacentral:rRNA from 1 species